GCGCACGUGGUGGAACGGCAUACACACCUGAUUUGGGGUCAGGCGGACCGGCCCUUCCUGGCAGUUGGCGCCCGGUCCUGCGGGUUCGAGUCCCGCCGUGCGCA
rnacentral:tRNA from 1 species